AAUGUGAAGCUGAAUGUAUCGGUAUAUUUACUAAAGAUAAAGUCAGUACAAGAACAUUGCACACGUGCAGUGUUUGCACUGCUGUAAUUACAAGAAUGAGGCUCAGACUGAAGCAGGUGCUGGAGUUACAAGGAUAUAUAAACAUAUGUCCUUACAGAGAAAAUGCAAAACUGAAAAGUAGUGAUCAAGAAUUGUGAAGGGGCUGAGGCUACAUCCUUCUCUCGAGCUAACCAGUGAGCCCCCUGCAAUGCAUGGAAGCUGGCAGAAAAAAUGAAGAUCCUGGAUCUGAGACAGAGGACUGACUUCCAACAUUUGCUUCAUGUCUCUUGCCCCCAAAGUCCCAUGGGGCUAUACCAGAGCAUGCAGGGUGGGUGUUGCCACACAGUGCAUUUGUGUCCCAGCUAAAGAUCCCCAAGUUUAGGAAACCCUACUUUUCUAAAGGAGGCUGCAAAAAAGCCUGAAUCACCUUUGCAGCAGAUGUUCUUUUUAAUUCUGGGGUGAAAAUAAAUCUUUCCUGUCCUCUAGAGAGGGAUCCUAUCCCUAACUUCCUAGGCUGUUUCCUUUACACAUAUCCUUAAAAACAUAGUCAAGAACAAAAUGUAAUAGAAAACACGCAGAAACACGAUGCAGAAUUGUCUGUUGACACAUCGUAAGCUAUUUUAAGUAGGUGAGUUAUGAGACUAUAUAUGUUACAUUUUAUGUCCUGUGUGAAAGGAUUAGAAUUCGGGGGAUAAAAGUGAUGAAGAGAUCGGUUUGGAGGCUAUUGAAUGCCAUAUGAAUAACGAUUGUGACUUUGCAUGUAACCUAGAAGGCGAUGGUGGUUUACCAAGAUAAGCACAUGGCAGUGAAGAUUUAGCAUUAAUAAAACCGUAUAGGUUACUCAUCUGAGGACUUGCAGAUGGUAGUAAGAAAGGCAUUACAGGAACAAAGGUGUAUUUGAAAGGGGGUGGGUGUGGAGAAUUGACUCAUGAAUUCAGCUUUAAUGAUAAAAUAAUAAAAUAAUUUUACAUGCAUAUGCUUUUUCUAAAUGUCACUGAGCAUAUGAAGAAACACACAGUUAUCCCGUUUUCAGGUAGACUGAAUUUUUACUUAAAAAUCAUCCUGUUUGACUGAAAAUAACAAUCUGAUUAAAACUCCCAAACAAUCCAAUGUUCUUUUCAGACUUCUUUUAUAGGUCUUAUGAUAGAUAAUCUUUAAAACUGUGUACCUGAUUUAAAAUUUAAACUGUAAUGGAUGUAAACUAUUGCCUUUGGAAUGGAUUAGCAGUGAGAUCUUGCUGUAUAGCAGUGGGAACUAUGUCUAGUCACUUAGGAUGGAGCAUGAUAAUGUGAGAAAAUAGAAUACGUACAUGUAUGUGUAAGUGGGUCACCAUGUCACCAUGCUGUACAGUAGAAAAAAAAAUUGUAUUGGGGAAAUAAUUUUAAAAAAUCAAAAUAAAUAAGAAAAAAGUAUAGAAACAAAUCAAAAUGCAUAGAAAACAGAUAAGCAUGAAAAAUUAAUUAAUUAACUAAUUAAUUUUUUAAAAGUAUGGGGGGGGGGUUCCCGUCGUGGCUCAAUGGUUAAUGAACCCAACUAGUGUCCAUGAGGAUGUGGGUUAGAUCCCUGGCCUUGCUCAGUGGGUUAAGGAUCCAGCGUUGCUGCGAGCUAUGGUAUAGGAUGCAGAUGCAGCCUGAAUCUGGCUGUUGCUGUGGUUGUGGUGUAGGCUGAUGGCUAUAGCUCUGAUUUGACCCCUGGCCUGGGAACCUCCAUAGGCUGUGGGUGAGGCCCUUAAAAAAAUAAUUAAAGUAGGGGAAAUAGAACUACAUAGAAAUAACUCAAGGGGUAAUUAUUGGAAGUUCCCUUGUGGCACAGAGAGUUAAGGAUCUGGGCUUGUCACUGCAGUGGCUCAGGUCACUGCUGUGGCAUGAGUUCUAUCCCUGGCCCAGGAACAUCCAUAUGCCAUGGGCACAGCCAAAAAAGGAAGUGAUUAUUAUUUGCAAAGAAAAUAUUUGUAGAGAUCAUGGAAGUUAUAAUUUCCAAAGCCCUGAGUCUUCAUUCUGUUAAGAUAUUGCAUUAGUAGAAAUUAAGGUAGAUGCUGAUUUCCUUUUUUUUUUUUUUUUUUUUAACUUUGAAGAGAUGCCAGGAGAAAUUCAUUAGUGUUUACCUAGAGAGAGAAAAUUUUGUCCAUAAUUCUAUUAUCCACUUACACACUUUAAGGCCAACUAAAGUCCUAAUAUCCCUAAAAAUGUGGAAUUAAACCAUGUCACAAGUUUUAAGAGAAUUUUUAGUAAAGCAUGGUGAGCUUGUCACAUCCUAUUCAUAAUGUAGCGAGAUUAAAUUGUACAUUAUCAUCUAAUGGGGAAAAAAGGAAAAAA
rnacentral:lncRNA from 1 species